CUUUCAAUACCUUUUGUAGCAAAAUUGCGUGUCUGAGAAGAAGUUCCCAGCACAACUCUCCUUAGUCCCUGCUCGGGAACAAAAAGAGCGCGUCUCAGAGUAACAAGCCUCGCCAUGGAAAUUAAUUUUUUUUCUUUUUUUUUUGGUUGGCGGACUGUAAUGGAAAAAAGAAAGAAGCGAAAAGGAAGAGUAGGAAUAUACUUACUUAUUAUUGCAUGCCAGAAAAUAAAAAAUAAGACAGAGUUAAGAGAAUUUUAGAAAA